UACCCGCAGCACAAGUGGUGGUCAUUAUUAUUGGGCCUAAAGCGUCCGUAGCUGGCGUGUUAGAUGCCUGGGUAAAUCGAUGCGCUCAACGUAUCGAAUUCCGGGUAGACCGGCAUGCUCGAGACCGGGAGAGGUGUAGGCUACUCGCGGGGUAGGGGUAAAAUCCUGUAAUCCUGCGGGGAGGACCAGUGGCGAAGGCGCUACACUAGAACGGCUCUGACAGUGAGGGACGAAGCCCUGGGGCGCAAACCGG
rnacentral:rRNA from 1 species